GCUGGGGAUAGCUCAGUUGGUAGAGCAUGAGACUCUUAUUCCCAAGGUUGUGGGUUCAAAGACCCACUUUGGGCA